AUGAACGCUGGCGGCGUGCCUAAUACAUGCAAGUCGAGCGAACGGACGAGAAGCUUGCUUCUCUGAUGUUAGCGGCGGACGGGUGAGUAACACGUGGAUAACCUACCUAUAAGACUGGGAUAACUUCGGGAAACCGGAGCUAAUACCGGAUAAUAUUUUGAACCGCAUGGUUCAAAAGUGAAAGACGGUCUUGCUGUCACUUAUAGAUGGAUCCGCGCUGCAUUAGCUAGUUGGUAAGGUAACGGCUUACCAAGGCAACGAUGCAUAGCCGACCUGAGAGGGUGAUCGGCCACACUGGAACUGAGACACGGUCCAGACUCCUACGGGAGGCAGCAGUAGGGAAUCUUCCGCAAUGGGCGAAAGCCUGACGAAGCAACGCCGCGUGAGUGAUGAAGGUCUUCGGAUCGUAAAACUCUGUUAUUAGGGAAGAACAUAUGUGUAAGUAACUGUGCACAUCUUGACGGUACCUAAUCAGAAAGCCACGGCUAACUACGUG
rnacentral:rRNA from 1 species